UACGUAGGGUGCAAGCGUUGUCCGGAUUAUUGGGCGUAAAGAGCUCGUAGGCGGUUUGUCGCGUCGGAUGUGAAAACCCAGGGCUCAACCCUGGGCCUGCAUUCGAUACGGGCAGACUAGAGUAUGGCAGGGGAGACUGGAAUUCCUGGGUGUAGCGGUGAAAUGCGCAGAGUAUCGGGAAGAACACCCGUGGCGAAGGCGGCUCUCUGGGACGGUACUGACGCUGAGACGCGAAAGCGUGGGGAGCGAACAGG
rnacentral:rRNA from 1 species